rnacentral:lncRNA from 1 species
CUGCAAUUGGAAAGGUAAGUACACACGAUGAUUACACUCCAUAUGGACUAAUACGGCGAGGUAGGGGAUGACAAGUGAUGGCCUUCAACCUGGAGAAGUUGAUAACAAGUCACUUUCGAGUAGGGUUGGCAAGGAGACAAUCUACAAGUUUACUUCGUUAUCUUAAUUGAACGUCCCUACAUAAAAGGGGCCAUAGAUUGUCGUUCACCACAAUUUCCUGCUUUCAGAUCUUGAAUAUUUCUCUUAUAUAAACCAAAAGAACUAAAGAAACUCUCCAUCCCCACAAAUAGAAUUUCAAAUACUUUCCAGCCCAAAGCUCAGGUUUUCUGAAAAGCCCUUAAAGGAAAAAAAACUCUGUUAUCAAUCAUGGCAGCAACAUUGAGAAGUUCGAUGCUCCGGUCGACCCAUAGAUUAUCUAAGCAGAUUAGAGAACAGAAGGCAAAGCUUUACAUCAUAUGGAGAUGUACAGUUCUGCUGCUCUGCUGGCAUGACUGAUUGAUAUUAAGCAAUUCACAAUCAAGCAGAUAGUGUUGGAAUAGAUACAGCAAAUAUGUAUGUAGGACCUUUAGGGUGUUGGGUAAAGUCUGAAAAUCUUUGUACAGUUUAGUGAAAUAGUUGCAGAGAGUUCUGAUCUCAGCUAAAUUAAUAUAGAUACAAAGCAACAUGUAAAAAUUGGCUUUUGAGCUUAUGUAAGUGACAAACAAUGCAAAUCUAUCUACAUCUUUCUCAAUUCUAUCUAGUCGUGUUCAAUACUGUGAGAAUAUGGUUCUCUUAACUCCAUUACACUUAAGUGCUAUUUGUGUAAUUCACAUAGAUUGUGCUUGUCUAGUUUUAUUAUGGACCAUUGGAUGAGAUCGACGACAGAGAUUUAAUCUAUUUGAGAUAUUUUUUGGUUGACUUGUCUUGGGAGAUAUGUUUUGACUUGAUGGACUUGAUGGUUGACACAAAAAAGGCUCCCCCCCCCCCCACCCCACGUUUUU